CUUCAUGGUAUGAAUAUGAUUUGAAUAAAUACAACUGAUUUGAAGUUGGAAUUAUUAUUUGUCUAAGAUGACUGGGCAUUUACAAAUUGAAAUAGCUACUCUUCAUCAAGAAAAUACAUGAAUAUUUUUCCCAAUUCACCUGGAUUUUAUUGUAGGUCUUUGUACGUGAAAUAGCUGUAUUUAACGUCCGCCUUCACCGAAGUGGUAUUGCAGAAAAUUAACAAAUUAGGAUUCCCUUUUAAAGGAAUUAGACUACACUAUCGCUGGAUUGUAUUAUAUUCAAAAUGGCGCCCAGAACACAAAACAAACAUUGCAAUUCAGGGCGGACUGGUGUCGAGGUUGUAUCUUAAGAAUGAUUUUUUGAAUAUUUAAUCAAACAGAAACACAAUUAUGCACAUGCAGUUAUGAUAUAAUAUUAAAUUAGCUUACCUCAAAUACCUCGAAAUAUACUGUUUGGUCAGUUUGUCCGCCCGCCAUAUUUCUAUUAGUCACACAUCCUUCGGCCAAUUAAAAUGGAGGUAUAUUUUGUUCUAACCGAAACGAAAAAUUUGCGUUAUAAAUACAUUGUAUUAAAAAAUACCAAAAUCACAAACCUGAUAUUCUUAUUUUCUGAACAAACUUUUUUCACAACAAUAUCACUUUUUUCGAUACUAAUGCUUAAUAAUACAGUUAACAUUUGCAGUACCACAGGGUUUAAUACCGCAAAAUUACUUUAAUAAAUAUUUCUUUCUUUGUUUUAAGAGUAAUUCAUUUUAAUUGGUCAUUUACAGGUAAGAAUAAAUUUCCAAUUUCGAUUAAUGAACCAAUUAAAUUAAAUAAAAAGAUUAACUCGACUAUUUCCACGCCCAUUCAAACAAUUUUUUAAAACGUAGAUAUAACACAAUUGUUAUUGUCUUUGAUGUGUCAAGUUUAUUGGGGCGAUAUCAAUCAGACACUUCCAAAUGCAGACAUUGUAAUAACCUGUCUCUGUAUAUUGUCUGAGACAAGAUGUGAAAAUAUACAAAGAGUAGAAUCAGAAUAAUCUUUUAUUAUAUCUAAUUAAAUAAAUAGUUUAUAUUUAGAUAAUAAUUGACUAAAACUUUGAUCUCUUAUAUCAGUAUACUGUUAUAAAAUACGUUGUUUUAAAAGAGAUAUUAAAUGCAUCGCACGAUACAUACAUUGCGAUUUCUACUUAAUGUUUGUAAUAAUUAAUAUAUCCUUUUAGAUAAUUAGAAAUAUUAAAAAAUAAAUCAAGUGAAUUACUCGACAUUCAAAUUCAGGAAGAGUGGUUUUACAUAUAGGCUAGUGAUAAAGGAACAUAAUAAAUGUUAUCUUUAAUGUCGACGUAAUUAAUUAUAUGGAAAAAAACACAUAAGAUUUUAUAAAUGUACACAAGUUUGUGUUAAGACAUUGAAAAAAACACAAACUUGUGUCAUUGCAAUGCAAUACAACACAAACAUGUGUUAAAUAUUUUUAACACAAGUUCUUGUGUUGAGAUCCAACACAAGGGUUUUUUCAGUGUAGGUAAAAAUUAUUUCCUAUUUAGUGUAAAUGGGUAUUAAAAUGACUAAAAAAAUGCAGCAUUCUCUCCGAAGCAGUAACGUCUUAUAUAAACAAUGCACGCGCCAUUCAGCCAAUGAUUGACGCCGGUCCUGUGACAGCACGUGUUAAGGCAGUCAUCUUCGGACAGAGAUAUAUCACUAGACUCGUAAUUCUCUGUGAAACAGAUUGGUGCGGAAUGUCUGGGACCGUUGUCAAUAUUUGACGAAAUGUUUCAUUGCCCAUGCGUAAUCGGGAGUUUCGUUUGUGAUGUGGUUAAUUAUCCAGUAUCUUUGGCCAAGUCAAGUAAGAGUUGCACCCCUUCCCGCACCAAAAAGUUGCACCCCUUCAUUAUUAUAAACCAAGAUGAAUCGUGACGACGAUUUAGGAUUAAUAGAUAUGGCCCAUGAAGAGAGAAAUUUUAGAAUAUAAAAAAAUUAAGAGUGUUGGAUAUUGAACUGGCAAUGCAAUCCAGUGGAUUUUCUGAAAUGACAUUCUUAAUUAAUUUCAUGGGCGUCGACAUUUUGUUUUAGGACUAGUUACCUCCCUUAGACUUUGUUUAUGAUAAUCUAAAGGACCGGAUAAUCUAGCCAAUAACCUAUUAUUCUCAAAUGCUGACAACGCAUACAGACUAAUAUACUAUUUAAUAGUCAAGUGGGUUUAAUAUUUGUUUUCAAUAUCCAUUAAUUUAUUCUUGAUGAACUAGGCCUAUAUAUUGGUGUUUUUGGAAUAGCACUAAGGAUAUUGGUGCAAAUGUGGUAAUGCAAAUACUUGUGGUAAAUUCAGUGUUUACUAAUACAUAGAUUUCGGCACUUGGAUCAAUGUUCUGUCAUACCGCGAAGCUGCAAUAUCCGAAACCCCAUAUUUAAUGGGCGUCCAUUUUGAUUGAAAAAUGAGGUCAGGUCGCGCACCGCUCUUAUUCGAAUGAGAACAUCAAAAACUACCCGUGAUAUGUGUUAAUGAUAUAUGUCAAAAGGUGAAUGAUUCUAUGAAAAUAUCGAACUUUGACUAAUAGAUAUAAUGGAAGCCAUGUCACGAUCUACAAAACAGUUUAGCCGCCUUUUUUUGUUAAACAUACAUUAUAAAAGAUUUAGAUUUAGAUAAAGAGCUGGCCAUUUUAGUUAUAAUAGUUCAAAAAUAGAUAAUGAAAAAAUGAAUCAUAUUGAAAAUUUCAGUCAAAUUACUAUUUAUGGGCGCACUUAUGAGUCUUUGAAAAAUUUUAAAUUAUAUUUUUAAAUGGCGAUUGUGUUUUAAUCCGUUAAAAUCACUGCCAUCCGAUGUUCUAGAAAGUUGAUUAUGGGUCGGUCGUUUGAAUAAUUUGUAUAACAUUUAAAACCAAAAGAAAGCCCGCAAUAGGCAAAUUUAGCUCUUAAAUAAUGCAUCUUUAAAUAUGUAAACCAUUUUGUAUUUGAAGUGUUCUCUGAAAUCUGGGACAUAAUUUAAUAAAUAUAUCAUAAUAUCGAGUAUUAAAAAGGCCAUAUUAUUGUAUACUUACAUCGAUACCAACUGUAAUAUAUACAUUUCAGGUCUUUCGGAAUGGCUGCUGUUUAUACAAAAGAGAUCACAUGACUCAUACUUUAAUAUAUAUAUAUAUAAUUCAUUUGUUUUCUUCAAGUUACAGAUUUCUUAAAUAUUUGUAUAUGUCUAUGUUUAUUGUUAUUAUUAUUUACCGGUUUUGCCCUUAGAAAUAUGAAUGUGUCUUAAAUCAAAAUAAAAGGUAAGUAAGAAUAUUUGAUUUUUUAUAUACGUAAGACUGAAGUCAUGUGGGAAAAUCAACAGGUAAGUAAACAUAAGUAAACAGGUAGGUGGUAUUUUCUACUUAAUCUUUUAGAAUGUAUGAUAUACUUUUACGGUAAGCACCCUUUUAAUUUAUAUAUAUAUAUAUUAAAUCAGUGCAAUCUGAAUUGAAGACAGAUCGUAUUUAGUUUGGGGAUUUUUUUAUCAUUUUUUGUUGUUGGUUUUUUUUUCUUGUUUUCGCUACAACACCCGCCUUCAUGGGAUGGAGGCCAUCGAUAGUAAAAAAAAAAUAAGAAACGAAAUAUAGAUCAUCCACAAACUGAAGGGUACGGUCGGUUGCGCAUACACUUGAGUUCUAUUCAUGAAGUGGAGUUUCUCCAACAGACAUUUAACUCACAUUCAAAUAUCAUUAUAUUUACCGAUAUCUCUUUGUUUGUUGUUUUUUUUCUUUCUAGGCGGAUCGUAUCUUGUAGAAAUUGUGGUUACUCGUUGUUCCUAGAUGGUAUAUUUAUAAUUUUAACUCUCCGUGAAGACCAUGGACUGAUGGAUUCCUGCACAUAUUAACUAAUAACAAAGUGAGCGGUGCUGGUUCGCCACCUAAUGGAAAAUCAUCAAGGUUUUUGAAAGGAGAAGUCUAAGAUAUAUUUUUGUAGGGAAGUCUAUUGACACCUUUAUAGACCAUAAACUAAAUAAAGAGUCUAUGCUGAUACUGAACCGAACAGAAAAUCAUCCAAAGUAUUGAAAGGAACUGUCCAGAUAUUUUUUUGAACGAAAGUCUUUAUAGACCAUAGACUAAAUAAAGGGUCGGUACUGAUGCUCAACCCAAUGAAAAUCACCCAAAAUAUUUAAAGGAACUGUCUAGAUAUAUUUUAAUGUAAAAGCCUAUUAAAGGCUGUUUCAUGUGUGCUUGGUGAUCUGGGAUUUUUUUAGACUGUGUCUGGGAAAACAUGUCUCCAUUUGAUAGACUAAAAUCCAUGUAAAAGCCUAUUAAAGGCUGUUUCAUGUGUGCUUGGUGAUCUGGUUUUUUUUUAGACUGUGUCUGGGAAAACAUGUCUCCAUUUGAUAGACUAAAAUCUAUCUCAAACUUAGGCGCCUGUCUACCGCUAUGACGUAGAUGGGUCGCUGCGUGCAGUAUGACUAAAAUCAUUAGGAUAAUCUGAUUAAAAUCAGAUCUAUAUUUCGUUUCGUUUUUUUUUUUUGUUUUUUUUUUACUUUGGAAACGAAAGGGUCUUUGUUUUAAUCAGAUUGAUCAUAAGGGUAAUACCAAAGAAAACAAAGAGUACUAUAUUGUAUAAAAGUAUAAUUUUAUAAGAAAUAUCUAUUAUAUACACUGCAGAAUAAUUAAAGUAUAUUUGUGAACAGUUUACGUACUACAUACAUAUAUUAUACAUUUGUGAAAUGAGUGUUAAAUUUUGAGAAAAAAUCUAUCUUGAGUUUUUAUUUUAGUCUUGUGUAUAAAAAUGAAAGUUCGAAAAUUUUGUCACGAGGAUAUUGUUAUAAGCUUAAGAUCACUAAUGAGUAUUUUAUUAAUAAAACACAAAUCUGAUAAAAAUACAGCUCUUGUAGCACGUUAUUUUUUUAUUUUUGGAAUUCUUGCUUAUCACAUUUAAUAUAAUUGACUACCAUUAUUUAUUAUUGGCAUAGAUUGACAUCCAUAAUCUAUCCAUAUAAUUUUUUCUGUCCAAAUUAUUAUCCAUGGUAUGAAUUGUUGAUUGCUAACACCCACUCCACCCCACAUCCCCAGGUCAUAUCCUGCCUAUACUGCAAGAAAAAUUGGCCAGACCAUGAAUUAUAUUAAAGUCCCAAUACAGGCUUAGACACAGCUCAGAAUAUGUCAAAAUCCUGCCAGAUAUUGUUGGUUUUAUUUGUUAACUGUAAUCAUCAGCCAAUAAUAAUUACUGGAAGCAACACCAUACCCCCCACCCCCCAUUGUGUGUUCAUGUACAAGGAUUUCAACUGUGUGAACUUAUCAAUGAAAGUCUAAUUUUAAUAAUGGUCUAUGAGAAAUGGGGUUUAACGUCCACUCGACACAAACUAGGUCAUUUCGGGACUAACAUAUUUUCAAUUCUAUUUCAGUAAUUCUCAUGCGCUUAUGGGUCUUUAGAAGUGGUAGGAAACCCGAGGACCAAGAGAAAAUCAAUGAGGUUGGACAGACGACUUUACUCUUUGUCACGUAUAAGCGGGGAAUCGAAACCAGGCUACCUGACUCAAUGACAAACCUUCCGAUACAACGCGCACGCGUUAAACCCCCCCCCCCCCCCGAUUGUAUAUAAGAACAAAUUUAGGUGGACAGCAGUAGAGAUCUUCCUGAAACUCCAACUUGAAUAACAUUACGUAUAUGUGAGCAGGAUUGAAUAAUUCUAAUCAGAAAGAUUAAAGAGUGGACUAUGUAUUAAAGACUUUCUUAACAAGCAUUAAAGAACUUCGAUCAUUGUUAUCGUUGGCAUAUUCA